rnacentral:rRNA from 1 species
UGAACUUAGCUUGCUAAGUUUGAUGGCGACCGGCGCACGGGUGAGUAACACGUAUCCAACCUGCCGUCUACUCUUGGACAGCCUUCUGAAAGGAAGAUUAAUACAAGAUGGCAUCAUGAGUUCACAUGUUCACAUGAUUAAAGGUAUUCCGGUAGACGAUGGGGAUGCGCUCCAUUAGCCAGUUGGCGGGGUAACGGCCCACCAAACCUUCGAUGGAUAGGGGUUCUGAGAGGAAGGUCCCCACAUUGGAACUGAGACACGGUCCAAACUCC